AUGAAGACUCACCAAAAGCAUCAGGACAGAUCUUCACCAUCUCUAACGUCAGAGCUGAACACAGUGGGAAUUAUUACUGUGAAGCCCAGAACACAAGAGGACGUCAUAACUCCACCUUACAUCUGACUGUUGUGGCAGAUAAAUCAAUAAUGACCAUGAAUAUCAUCAGGCUGACUGUGGCGGGUGUGAUGCUGAUUCUACUGCUUCUUUUUUGUCUCUGCAUGAGAUUCAGGAAGAAGAAAACUCUGAGCUCCACCAGUGAACCAAAUGAACCCAAAGAGACUCUGGAGUUAGACUCUGCGUGUGAGAACGUCUCAGACUCUGCAGCACAGAGAGAAGACGCAGAGGAGCAGGAAGACCUGGUGUGAAGCUCAGCCAGGUUUGAGUCUGCUGCAUGAGGAAAAAACUCACAAACCCAAAGUUGUUUUGAGUUCCAUUUGUGAAAAAAAUAGCUCACAGAAACGUAAUAUGAUUUUCUUCAGAUGUAGUUAAACCAGAGGAAGACUGGUCUGAAUGGAACAGAAACAGAAAGAAGUACAACAAAUGAUUUCAUUGUCAGUUUUCAGAUUUGUGUAGAAUACAAGCUUUUUGUACUUGUGCUGGUACGAUACAUGCGUUCAGAACUUAAACUUUAACUUUACUGUAAUAUAUUGCUUUUCAGAAAUAUUUAUCACAUCACACCUGUCGUGGCAGAGAGAGCUGAUGAAGUCAAAACACACAUGGAAGCAGAAUAUUUCACAGCAUGUACAGUAUAUUUUGUAUAGUAUAGUAUAGUACGGUAUAAUAUAGUAUAGUAUAGCAUAUAAUUUUAACAUAUUGAAAAACAUAAGCUGAGCUCUGUCACACUUUGCCACUUGUAACAUUUUCUGUAUCAUUUUCAGUAGCCUGGGCUAUAUUUGCUUAAAUCACUGAACUCAACAGGCCUAUAUUUGGGACAGGCGUCCUCAUGGGACAGGCCUUUAGACACAUAAUUUGACUUUAUGACCGCUUCAGAAGUAGGGAGUCACCACCAUUUUAUUUUCCAUCUGUCUUGCCGGUAAAUCUGAAUGAAUUAUCCUUUGGUGCUCAUGGUUUUAGUAAAAUGAACCCAAUGAUGAAAUUAUGGAGAAUCUGACCGAGCUAACGAUGUGUAGCAUCUCCAGCUGAAGAUGUAGUUGCACCAGUGCUGUUUUAAAAUCCUUGUAUCUUUCAGUUGUCUGUAGUCAAACCUGCAACACAGUGACUGAAUGUCAGUCAGCGGAAAUGUGCAGUGCCUCACCCUCAUGUUUGUCCUCCCUCUGUAACACAAACAAACCCAGCCCGGUCUCACUCCCAAGUCUCUGAAAUCCGGCACUUGAGAACAGUGACUUGUGGCGUCAGAAACCAGCAGGAAAAAGGCGUCCUUUAAUGCCUGUAACAUCGCUGGUUGCCAUUAUAGUUUAACAGUGCCAGGUGGUGUCAGGGGGUAACGUGACAAGACAAGAAUGAAACUUAAGGCGAGACUGGCGCAGAAGGGAGGGGUGGUAGAUGGGUUUAACAAACACCAACUGUCACCCGAGAGAAUGGUGUUCAUAUCCCGUAAGAUUCUAAAGCCAAACCCUGUUCUUUUUUCCUAAACCCAACCAUGUGUGUUUGUUGUUGAAGGAAAAAUAAUGUCAAUUCACAGUGUUGUACGAUGUAGUGCGUUUAUUUUGAAAGAAACUGUAUGUAGACAUUAAAUUUCCUGUGAAAAUGGAAGUGUGUUUUGAAAGAAGACAAUGCAUGUAACAGGCAGAACUUGUGGACGUGGAAAGUCCAUGAUUAAACGUCAAUAUGUGACGAGGUCGGAGUGAGAAUGUGUUGGCAAACCUUCAUAUCAUUAGCUGAAUUGGAGCACAUGUAAUUUGUGACUGGAAUAAUUAUUAUCACUGAUAUUUAUUAAGCAUGAUCUUGGAGAUUGUGGUCAAGUGUUAUUAAAAGAUUAGUCUCCAACACUGUGUUAAAGAAAGGUAAUGUUUUCAUUUAGUUUUUGUUCCUUAUGUAUUAUAUAUUUUAUACAACAAUAAAUCUUUUGUGAAUCAUCAAUCGCAGAGUGAGAGCUCUGCAGAUGAUUUGGCUCUUGUUAAAAACAUCCUCAAUGUCCACAUCUUAAGUUCCCAGAGAAAAAAGGUGAGCGCACAUCAUGUGUGUGAACUGUGACACUGUUGGCAAGUGUGUUGCAUGAUGCAGCAGCUUAGAGCCCAUACCAA